rnacentral:rRNA from 1 species
ACCAACCGGGAUUGCCCUAGUAACGGCGAGUGAAGCGGCAAGAGCUCAAAUUUGAAAGCUGGCCCCCUCGGGGUCCGCAUUGUAAUUUGCAGAGGAUGCUUCGGGAACGGCCCCCAUCUAAGUGCCCUGGAACGGGCCGUCAUAGAGGGUGAGAAUCCCGUCUGGGAUGGGGUGGCCGCGCCCGUGUGAAGCUCCUUCGACGAGUCGAGUUGUUUGGGAAUGCAGCUCUAAUUGGGUGGUAAAUUUCAUCUAAAGCUAAAUAUUGGCCGGAGACCGAUAGCGCACAAGUAGAGUGAUCGAAAGAUGAAAAGCACUUUGAAAAGAGAGUUAAACAGCACGUGAAAUUGUUGAAAGGGAAGCGCUUGCGACCAGACUCGCCCGCGGGGUUCAGCCGGCACUCGUGCCGGUGUACUUCCCCGCGGGCGGGCCAGCGUCGGUUUGGGCGGCCGGUCAAAGGCCUCUGGAAGGUAACGCCUCUCGGGGCGUCUUAUAGCCAGGGGUGCCAUGCGGCCUGCCCGGACCGAGGAACGCGCUUCGGCUCGGACGCUGGCAUAAUGGUCGUAAGCGACCCGUCUUGAAACACGGACCAAGGAGUCUAACAUCUACGCGAGUGUUCGGGUGUCAAACCCGUGCGCGCAGUGAAAGCGAACGGAGGUGGGAACCCCCCGGGGUGCACCAUCGACCGAUCCUGAUGUCUUCGGAUGGAUUUGAGUAAGAGCGUAGCUGUUGGGACCCGAAAGAUGGUGAACUAUGCCUGAAUAGGGCGAAGCCAGAGGAAACUCUGGUGGAGGCUCGCAGCGGUUCUGACGUGCAAAUCGAUCGUC